ACCUUGCUGGCUCAGUCAGAAGAGUGUGUGACUGUUGAUCUUGAGGUCGUGAGUUCAAGCCCCAUGUUGGGUG
rnacentral:tRNA from 1 species